rnacentral:rRNA from 1 species
GACGAACGCUGGCGGCGUGCUUAACACAUGCAAGUCGAACGGAAAGGCCCUGCUUUUGUGGGGUGCUCGAGUGGCGAACGGGUGAGUAACACGUGAGUAACCUGCCCUUGACUUUGGGAUAACUUCAGGAAACUGGGGCUAAUACCGGAUAGGAGCUCCUGCUGCAUGGUGGGGGUUGGAAAGUUUCGGCGGUUGGGGUUGGACUCGCGGCUUAUCAGCUUGUUGGUGGGGUAGUGGCUUACCAAGGCUUUGACGGGUAGCCGGCCUGAGAGGGUGACCGGCCACAUUGGGACUGAGAUACGGCCCAGACUCCUACGGGAGGCAGCAGUGGGGAAUAUUGCACAAUGGGCGGAAGCCUGAUGCAGCAACGCCGCGUGCGGGAUGACGGCCUUCGGGUUGUAAACCGCUUUCGCCUGUGACGAAGCGUGAGUGACGGUAAUGGGUAAAGAAGCACCGGCUAACUAUGUG